UCCCAGCAACCACACAGUGAA
rnacentral:misc_RNA from 1 species